rnacentral:rRNA from 1 species
GGGGAAUUUUGGACAAUGGGCGAAAGCCUGAUCCAGCCAUGCCGCGUGCAGGAUGAAGGCCUUCGGGUUGUAAACUGCUUUUGUACGGAACGAAAAGACUCCUUCUAAUAAAGGGGGUCCAUGACGGUACCGUAAGAAUAAGCACCGGCUAACUACGUGCCAGCAGCCGCGGUAAUACGGAGGGUGCGAGCGUUAAUCGGAAUUACUGGGCGUAAAGCGUGCGCAGGCGGUUUGUUAAGCGAGAUGUGAAAGCCCCGGGCUCAACCUGGGAUGGUCAUUUCGAACUGGCAAGCUAGAGUCUCGUAGAGGGGGGUAGAAUUCCAGGUGUAGCGGUGAAAUGCGUAGAGAUCUGGAGGAAUACCGGUGGCGAAGGCGGCCCCCUGGACGAAGACUGACGCUCAGGCACGAAAGCGUGGGGAGCAAACA